rnacentral:lncRNA from 1 species
CAAAUGCCUUAUGUGAACUUUAAUACUAAUCAACACACUUAAAACUCAUCAGUUCCACGGUACUCAAUUCAAAAGUCAUUUGGUUGAUUAUAAUGCUGUACAAAAUAGUUUCUUAUAUAGCAAACAUGUAUAGUGCUUAUUCAAAAGUCUUUUGCCUUCUAAACCAUUCAAGUAAUAUGUAUAAAUUAAACUACAUAAAAACCAUUUACCAACAUGCUUAUUCAUUUAACAACAGACAUGCAUCCAUACAUAUACAUAUAUAUGCAGUACAUGCUUCGACUCUUCUCUUUGCAAUAGAGCAGCAUCCAAGUCUCCUAAAGUUAAGUGCCUUUCCAAGAAUAGGAAUGAAUAUGGUAUUGUUAUGUCACAUGCGAAAUACAGAACAUAAAAGGCUAUCACUAAAGAACAAUAUGAAUAGAAAGACUUUUCUAUAAAACUAAAUCAGCAGUAUGAACGAAUUCAAAUACAUACGCAUAACGAUGCCCAGCAGCCCCUUUUUGGUUUAGAUACAAACAUUUAUAAUUUAUUAAUAACAUACAGUGAUAUGAGACAAAUAACUAAGAGGAAAACCUAGAAAGGAAAACUCUUUAAACCUGAGAAAGAGUAGACCCCGAUAGAAAACGUUUCAUCUCGCCAGCGAAGAAAACCGAAGCAAUAACAUUCUAUUUAUAGGAGAAGGAAGUCGGCACAGAGGAAGGUGAGAUCAGACCAAGCAAACUUACACCGCCUCAAAGCUAUCGAUAGGAAUGAUGUAAAAGCCCUUUAAUUGGCUAUGGUUUUGGUCCAAUUAGAAUAGAACAAACAGCUUAAUAAAAUAAUGUAAAAGGAAAGAAGAUGAAUAAUAUGAAUAUAUAGUUCAAAUACUACCGUAAUGGUGUACUGAACUUAUUUGGUUCAAAAUAACAGUAAAUUAGAGUAUGGAAAAAUGAAAUAAAGGAAUUAACAGUAAAUAAGAAGUAAUACAAAUUUUUUUUUUUUUGAAAUUAAUAAGUAUACACAACACAUAAUUAUAUAUGAUUAUUUUUUAAAAUACAGGUCCUCACAAUCUACCCUCCUUAAAAGAAAUUUCGUCCUCGAAAUUUGUAAGACCUUACUCAAUAUAUAAUAGUAGUUGAAGAAAACUAAGAGAAUAUCCAACCAGAGUGGUUGCAUAGAGAUUACCCUUCCGUUUCAAGUGGAUUGCAAUUCUCUAUGUAUUUUGCCUUCCAACUCUAGAAAUUAUUCCCUUUACAUAUAGUUUUAACAUUGUAAAGUCCACUGAAUAGUAAACGGAUAUAUGCCAAAACAUAAGUUUUCUUUUCAAGCAACAAUAAAAUUGAACAUAACCCUUCAAUUAAAAACGUAAGGGCCAUAUUUGGAGCGAAAUCAUUUUCUUCUGUACUAACAAAAUUAUUUUCAAAAACCAAUUACUCACACAAUUAACACGAAACCAAAAGCUCAAUCCCAAAGCUCAACUCACAAUCCCAACACUAGUUGCCUCAAUCUCAGGAAAAACCCUGGUACGUAACAAGCGGUCUAACCAAACCCCAACACCACUAAUUGGAUUUGAGUGGAUCGAUUUCCUUGAUCUAAAUGUAGUUUCCAAACGAAAUAGUACUUCAAGUAGUAUUCCUAAUGGCUUCCUAGUAUAACAACAUUCAGAAAUGUGACCCAUCACUCAGCUCCAUUAUUUAAUUCUUUUAUUCUCACCACACGACAUUCGUGACUUCGUUUUACUCAUCAUAUAGCCUAAAGCUAUAUAGGAAUGAGAAUUAGUGGUCUCAUCACACAACCGUAAGUCAUGUAGGAAUGAAGUUCUUUGUCAAAUUCAUCACAUAGCCCAAAGCUAUGUAGGAAUGAGAUUAAUCAAACUUAUCACACAACCAAUAAUUGUGUAGGAAUAAAGUUCAAUAGAUUCAUCACACAACCAGAAGUUGUGUAGGAAUGAAAUAUAAUAUACUCAUCACACAAUCCAAAAUUGUGUAGGAAUGACAUUUAAGUAGUUCAUCAUACAACCCCAGUUGUAUAGGAAUGAAUCACCAUGUAUAUAAUACCAACUCGUGUAGGAAUGAGAAUGUCACUUAACUAUUACCUUUCUGAGUAGGAGUGAGUCACAUGUGAGUUGGCUUCCUCUCCGUAACAUAAUCGAACUAAUAAAUAUUUCAAUAAAUCCAAACCUUAAUUUUAAACUCCUGUCUAAGAAAGUCUCUUGCAUCAAAGUUCUAAGACAUCCCCCAUCUUAUAAAUUUAGGACUAAUUCUUUUCUGAAAGAGAUGUGGUGUUUGCAAAACUAUGCAAACAUAGAAUUACUCCUCAGUCAUCUAAUGGACCCUAACAGAAACUUGUGCUCCAAUCACCACCAUAGAAUUAAUCCAUGAAAAUUGAAUGAAUAACAGGGAUCACAUGUAAAUUUGUUUCUUCACUGAAACUUUAUCGAAUAAAUGACUACUUCCAGUAGUCCAAACUCUGACUUUGAACCUACGUUUAAGAGAGUCACUUGUAUCUCAAACAACCUUUAACUCUUAAUUCUAAGACAAUCUUCAACCAAAAACUUCAAGAUAGUCCAUCUCAUAAGAGAGGUGAUGUUUGCGAACCAAGCAAACAGAUUAGUACGAGUAUUCAUACACUUUAUCUCAAGAUAUGGUUUAGUUGGUAACCACCACCAUAGGAUUCAUGAGAUCAUUGAACACCAUGCACUACCUAAAGACAAUGAUGUAAUCUCGUACUCCAGCUAAUUGGUUGAAUCCCAACGAACUAACAUGACGAAAACAAGGGUGUACAACAGUAAUAAAUUAAAAUCCUUAAACUUCUCCUCAAUCACAACCUCAGCUCGUCUAUCACCUGUCUUGCCAAAUAACACCUGCCUUGCCAAAUAACUCUUCUGUAAAAUAAUAGAUGAGGGGUGAGCAACAACCACUGUCACUCAGUGAGUAGAAUAUUAUAUAAUAUGCCAGUCAAGCUUGCCAUUUUAAUCACACUAUAAAAUAGGAUAAUAAUAUCAAAGCUUUAGCCACAUAAUUCCAUAUCACAUCAUCCCUUUACGUGUCCAUUAUAUCCUUCAUAAAUUGUAACUCACCACGUUACUCCUAAUGGCCAUCUGCUCUAAUGUCCCUGUGUGCAGUUUACAUUUAUCCCUCGAAUUAAUGCAACACUAAAGUUCUCAUGCUCCAUGAACAUGUCCAAAUAAUCCACAUAUCACCAUAUUAAUAAUUCCAAAAGCAUUUCAACAAAUCCAACAUGCUUGACUUAAAAUAGAUAGAGAUUUAUAAAUAGAUAAAACCCACAAUAGUUCGUGGUUUUCAUUUAUCAGAAAAUAAGAAUACUUUGAAACACAUUACAUAAACCACUCACCUCGAUAAUCCAAGCUUUGGCAAGACAACCCAACUAACAUCUCCGCACACCUCAAACUAGCUUUCCCCUUUUCUUUUCUUUCUAAGCUCUCACUCUAACGUAUAUAUUAAGUAUGUAUGUAUGUAUAUCCAACAUAUAUAAUCAUUUCCAGCACUAAAUACAUGCUUUACUUCAUAUAUAAUUGAAACCAUAUAUAGCAGAAAGGUAUGUAGCUUGAUAACUAACAUGGAAGCUCACAAAUCCAUGACAGAUAAACUAUUAUAUAAAAUUAAAAACAACAUGAUGGAUAGACAUGAAAAUAGCUAUAGAAAAUGUAAGGGAAAACUGGGGAUAUGUCAUAAACUUAUCAAGGGUAUUAUGUCAAAAUAGAUUUUCUUUUUAAAAUGAAUCAGUUGAUAGAUCAAUUGAUAUCACACAACCCUUUUAGCUUUCGUAUGAAAACUGUCAACACAAAUAUGCAGUGCAUAAAACCAAAUGGAUUAAGAUGUGGAAAGAAACAUUUGUACAAAUUAAGUUGUCAAUCACAAUACUGCAUAACAUUAACAACAUAUUAAGAAAGUCAUAGUAUAGCCACUAACAAAUACAGGGAAUAUGAAAAUAAUUACCAAAGCUUUGUGAGCUACAGGCUUACGACAUAUGUAUUCAUGAUUGUUUCAUGAUUUAGAUGCCAUAGAUUUCGAUGAAACCUCUCUCUUUGUUUCUGAGUUUAGUAUGCAGUUGAAACCCUGGUCUUUAUUUAUACUAGGGGAAAUGCGAGAGUGAAAUGGAUAGACUUACCAGAACCGAAUAAGAUGAGCAACGUGUAAAGCCAAAUCGCUUUGGGUUUAGUGGUGUGACACCUAUUCCACCUUGCGGCAAACCCAUUCUAGCUUCCAACUUGAUUAGCACGAACUCAAGCUAACAGAUAGCUUACUGACUCAUUUGAAUGCAGCAGGGGUCAACUACUUAAGUAGGUAAAAUAUCACGCAGAUUGCCAGCUUUUGCUUUUACAAUCAUCUCAACAUUUCAAUUCCAUUCUAAACGUCUAUCACUCGGCAGUUAGGAAAGCUAUAGUAUAGUUGGACACACUGGUGAAGAAAACACUAACCAAUUAAAGAAUAUUUUUUUUUUUUUUAAUACGGAUCUUCCACUUCUACUGAGUAGUCACAACACAAGUAAUAUGUACCACAUAAGCCAAAUAAAAUUUCAACAUAUCACAGCAGUAAAGCAAACAAUGACACUUUACUUCCAACUACGUUAAGACCUAACAACCCAUAUUACUACCCCCUAACUAGACCUACUAGUCUCUCAGUCAAAUGAAUUCAAGUCCAAACAAAAGACUUGACAAAACUAAUACCACAAAACAGAAAUGCUCUAGCUCUUUUAGUUCAACUGACUAUUUAAUUGGUAACACAACUUUCCCAAGGGUGUCUAAUCCCUAUGCUCUGAUACCAUUCUGUCACGCCCCGAACCCGGGGUCAAUAGGAAAAAUAACUCCGAAUCCGAAACGUGAGAUAAAAGCUAACUAAUUAAAAUAAAACUGAAAUAACGGAGUGAAAAAUAAAAUUCUUCUUAUUUAAAAUAACUCAAUAAUUCUUUACAAGGCUAAAAUAAAGAAAUACAAAAUUCUAUCCUCACACUUAAUCCGAUCUCAUCCCGUCUACCCUCUUAGAUUGUUUAGUUCGUAAACCUGCAUAACAAUAGAGGGGUGAGCUUCAACAGCUCAGUAGGGACAUAACCUUAUCACAGUAAAUUGACAAUAUUAAAUUAAGUGUCAUAAAAUCAUGUAAUCAAGUACCAAAUUAUUAUCAUCAACAAUGCAUGAGUGCGAUACAAUACUCUUCAUCUCUACCCGUUAAUUCAUGUAAUAAAACACGCGGACCUGCACGUCCCAUACCGUGCAUUUUACCUCUGCAGUGGUGGUUCGAAUGUUUUAAUAUACAAAUUAACCCCCUGUAACUCAAUCAUCCCAAUUUCCCCUUUUGUUAGUCAUCUUGCUCAAACUCUUCGUCGCCAGUCCCGAAUUACCCUUAAAGAAUCUGUGCACUGUGGGCUCACCUGAGACCUGGUACCUGCUAAGAGUUUGACUCAACUACACAAAAGAUCAUUUCCAUUACCCUCUUUCCAAAUUCCUUUCUCACCUACAAAGUUCCAACCACUUCUGACACAUGAGUGAUGCACAAGCAACGUUAUUACAUCUUUCACAUGUCACAAUAUAUCUCCAUGUCACAAUAUAUAUCUCAAUGAAUAACAUUCCAGUAGUACUAACAAGUAAACAACCAACUGAAGCAAUCAUCCAAACAAUGUCCAACCACAUUAAUCAACCAGCACAAAUAUAGUACUUCACGAAAUUUAAUAGAAUCAAUAUCUGUAAAGGUCUGCCGUAUUUCCCCUACCUGGAUUCCAAAGCAUUGCUCCGAUAUAUUAACACAAGAAACCACAACUGUGAUAAGCUCCUAUUCACAAGUAUAAGAAAAUUACCAAAUGCCUUAUGUGAACUUUAAUACUAAUCAACACACUUAAAACUCAUCAGUUCCACGGUACUCAAUUCAAAAGUCAUUUGGUUGAUUAUAAUGCUGUACAAAAUAGUUUCUUAUAUAGCAAACAUGUAUAGUGCUUAUUCAAAAGUCUUUUGCCUUCUAAACCAUUCAAGUAAUAUGUAUAAAUUAAACUACAUAAAACCAUUUACCAACAUGCUUAUUCAUUUAACAACAGACAUGCAUCCAUACAUAUACAUAUAUAUGCAGUACAUGCUUCGACUCUUCUCUUUGCAAUAGAGCAGCAUCCAAGUCUCCUAAAGUUAAGUGCCUUUCCAAGAAUAGGAAUGAAUAUGGUAUUGUUAUGUCACAUGCGAAAUACAGAACAUAAAAGGCUAUCACUAAAGAACAAUAUGAAUAGAAAGACUUUUCUAUAAAACUAAAUCAGCAGUAUGAACGAAUUCAAAUACAUACGCAUAACGAUGCCCAGCAACCCCUUUUUGGUUUAGAUACAAACAUUUAUAAUUUAUUAAUAACAUACAGUGAUAUGAGACAAAUAACUAAGAGGAAAACCUAGAAAGGAAAACUCUUUAAACCUGAGAGAGAGUAGACCCCGAUAGAAAACGUUUCAUCUCGCCAGCGAAGAAAACCGAAGCAAUAACAUUCUAUUUAUAGGAGAAGGAAGUCGGCACAGAGGAAGGUGAGAUCAGACCAAGCAAACUUACACCGCCUCAAAGCUAU